CGAAAGCCUGAUGCAGCGACGCCGCGUGAGGGAUGACGGCCUUCGGGUUGUAAACCUCUUUCAGCAGGGAAGAAGCGAGAGUGACGGUACCUGCAGAAGAAGCGCCGGCUAACUACGUGCCAGCAGCCGCGGUAAUACGUAGGGCGCAAGCGUUGUCCGGAAUUAUUGGGCGUAAAGAGCUCGUAGGCGGCUUGUUGCGUCGGUUGUGAAAGCCCGGGGCUUAACCCCGGGUCUGCAGUCGAUACGGGCAGGCUAGAGUGUGGUAGGGGAGAUCGGAAUUCCUGGUGUAGCGGUGAAAUGCGCAGAUAUCAGGAGGAACACCGGUGGCGAAGGCGGAUCUCUGGGCCAUUACUGACGCUGAGGAGCGAAAGCGUGGGGAGCGAACAGGAUUAGAUACCCUGGUAGUCCACGCCGUAAACGUUGGGAACUAGGUGUUGGCGACAUUCCACGUCGUCGGUGCCGCAGCUAACGCAUUAAGUUCCCCGCCUGGGGAGUACGGCCGCAAGGCUA
rnacentral:rRNA from 1 species